AGAGCUGCAACAAGAGGAGGAGGAGAGAGGGCAGAGAGGAGAGGCUAAAAAAAAACAAAAGGAUACAGCUUUAAGAGAACGGAAGAAAGGAGGAGAAAUUGAAAAUACCAGAGAGAGCAAUAGGGAGAGAAGAAGAAGCACACUGAACAGAAACAGAGGACACGGUGAAGAUAUAGCACAGCGCCACCAUCAUCUUCGUCCCCUCAAAACCAGGUAUGUUUGCUGCCUUUCUUGUUUCCUGUAAUGUGAUGCCUGUUAAUAUAUAGAAACGAAAAGAAAAUCAUGCCGAAACCAACAUCUGAGACCACAUGUAUCAUGCUCUGUUUUUUUUCGUUAUACACUUAUACUGGGAAGGGGAUGAACAGUGCGAAGGUAAUUUAAUUACCUUCGCACUGUUCAUGCACGCGUGAUACGCGUGCAUAUGCUGAAAGGAGAGGCUGGUCACUGGCAUGGGCCAGUGACCAGGCUGGGCUGGCUAGGUCCAGCCCAGUCACAUGGGUUGGGCUGGGCCCAGCCUGCAAAAAAAAUUAUUUAAAAAAAAUCUGAGUUUUUUGUAAUUUUUUUUAUAUGUUGUAUUUUAAUCAAUAGCGGUUUGUAUUUUUAUACUGUAAAGAUACAAAUUCGGUAUUAAAAUACCCGAUUUUCGUCAAGACAUCAAAAAAAAAAAAAAAUAUUUUGUUUUCUUGCAUACGACCAAGUCUCUCAAAAAUUAAAAAAAAUCAUAUUGUAUUUUAAUACCACAAAAAAAAUUUCAAAAAAAUAUGUAUUAACAUGCAUUUUGACUUUAAUAACCAGUUUAUUAAAGUCACGAGAACUACGUCAAUAUUUCAAAAAUUCUAAAAAAAUUUAUUUUGUUUUCUUUUAAUAUCUGGGGUUAUGAUCUUAUACGUAAGACGUGUUCCGGAUAUUAAAUUUUCUUUGAUGGCAUUAGACCGGUUAUGUUUUAUCCGAUAAGAUAAGGAUCUCUUUACUGAAGAGAACUUUUCUUAAACCAUAGACGGACCAACAAAUAGAAAGCACGACAUGACCUUAGAUUUUAUCAGACAAUAAAACAAUGCAGUUUACCUUAGGUAGGACGUAUUUGGGGUGCUAAUACCUUCCCUUUGCGCAACCAGUCCCCGUACCCGAUCUCUGAGACCAGUUAGGGUUCCUAGUGACCAAAAUACUAGGUGGCGACUCCCAUUCCAUUUUCCCACUAAUAAAAGACAAGAAUUCCUUGUCUCCACACAUUUGCCGCAUUAGAUUAGAUUUUGAAGGUGGAUGUUUUCGCCAGCGACGCCGCACACGUGCGACAGAAUGGCGACUCCACUGGGGACCUUGUGGACUAAGCUUUGUUUUUGUCUGAUAAUUGUGUUUUGUUUGGUUUGCGUGUCUUUGUUAAUAAGCUUAUUUUAUUUAUUUAUUACAUGUUUGAAUUUCUGUACAUUUAUGUUCAUGCAUUGUAUAGAACUGUCUCAUACAUCAUAUACUUUAAUUUUUGGAAAGCACACACAAGCUUCUAAGUUAGGUGGGGAAUUAGCGAUCUGCCCUAUGACUAUUGGUCAGGGUUCAGAUGCGUGAAACACCCAACUCAUAUCUGAGUGCCUGUUUGAUAAUGGUGGGCAUACGUGCCUUAACUGUUCCUUGCAACGCCCCCACACUGUCUUUACAAAGAUCGUCACUAGGCAGAUAUGAGACCCUUUUGAGACUAGAUAGUCAACCUACCAUUGGUCUCACUUAAUGAAUAGAACAUGUCCUUAGGUUAUGUGUUUUACCUUUUGUUUUGCAUCAAAGUAAACCCUUCCUGAAGCAUCUAAAACUCAAGACUUGUGGUUGAUACAAUGGUCGUUACUCAGGAAAUUUCCGUUGUGGAGCAAAAAUCAAAAUGCAAGGGUUACGACUAUGUGUCAAACCUAAAAAGGCGAACUCAUCAUAUAGGAACAUACUCGUACAUUUAUCAUACAUGUUGCUAGGUUGAAACAUAGGUCCCCCAUCCAAGAUUUGCUACACCUGAAAGAUGGAUAAUGAAGAAAGAGCUCAAUUGGAGGCCCAUUAUCAAAAUGAAAUUGAGAGCAUCAAAGGUGAAGUAGCUAGACUUACAGAUCUACUUGAACAAGUGCUGAGCUCUAAAAAUGAAAAGGGGAUUUUUGCACAACCUCCUGUGAAAACACCAUCAAUCCACGUCCUAGAACAACAUUUUAUGCUUAUCGCCCCUAUCCCGUCAAGUCAAGCUCCCAUCACCGUGGAUUUAACAGCAAAUGGACCCCCUGGCAAUAAAUCCACUAAUUUUGUGAACUAUGACAAGUUGUCUGCUUUAAAAGAAAGAUUAAGAGCAGUUGAGGGUAAUGAUUGGUUUGAUCCCAUGCGAGCAACUGAAGUGUGUUUGGUACCAAACAUCAUAGUACCAAAGAACUUUAGGAUACUAGAGUUCAUCAAAUACACUGGAUUGGAAUGUCCAAACACUCACCUUCAAUCUUACUGCAAUAAAAUGGCUGAGGUGAUUUAUGAUGAUAAGUUGUUAAUCUAUUUUUUCCAAGAUAGUCUGAUGGGAUCUGCCCUAAGCUGGUAUAUGAGGUUGGACAAUGCUAAAGUUAAGAAAUGGAAAGAUUUGGUGGAGGCUUUUUUUAGCAGUACAAGUUCAAUCUUGAAAUUGCUCUUGACAGAACCAUCCUAAUGUCUAUGGAGAAGGAAGACCAAGAGUCUGUAAGGGCAUACGCGCAAAAAUAGAGAGAUAAGGCAACGUAUGUUCAACCUCCACUGAUAGAUACAGAAAUGAUGAUGUUGAUUGCCAACACCUUUCAAUCCCCUUAUUAUGAGCAUUUAAUAGGAAGCUCAACUCAACAUUUCCAUGAAGUUGUGAGGAUUGCUAAAAUAAUUGAACAAGCUAUGAAGAGGGGAAAGAUUGAAGGUUCUGUCAUGGAUUCCAGAACAAUGAUGAGAGAUGACUCGGGAGGUGGAUGAGCAAGAGAAGUUGAGUUUGUGAAAGGUGAUGUCAUUGGCUAUAUUGUCCCCCGAACAUCUUUAGAAUGACAAGGGAUCGAAAAUGCUUGACAAAACACAGAUAUUGCCAGAAAAGCUAAUCCAAGAAUGGCGAUGAAUUGUCAACCAGAUUUUGUUUUGGGAUCAUAUCUCAUCUCUUUAACGAAACAUGUCUUUUAUUUGUCUCUUUGUUGUUUUGAAAUAAUGAGAUGUUUCUUUCAAAGUUUAUUUUGGCAAAAUAUUUUGAUCGAACUCCAACAUGCAAUUAAGGCUAAUCAAUCUUGAAAAAUUAAAAGUAUUUGAUUGCAGAAAUAACUCGAUGCUUAGGGUGCCCAAACAAAUUUUGAGCUCACACAUGAAACUGAAUCACCCACCAUGUAGCUAAGUUUUAGCAGUAUGCAUAAUGACAUGUAGUGGAUUCGGUAGUUAUGGACUCGUGAAUCAUGAUUCUUACAAAUCCAAAUCACUACACUGGACGAGGUCAAAAUUUAUCGGUUCACACCAACCUUGCUUGAAAUGAGAAAAGGCCAUCUUUGUUUUAUCCUUUCACAAUACUGGAAAUAUAUCAUUUGCAAUCUCAUUUUGAGCCUGAUAGAAUAUUCUUUUCAAAAGAAACCCUAACUAGGAUCACACCCCACACUGGGGGCAAAUAAGAGAAGACAAAAGUGAAGGGGAAGGCUUAGAACACAAGUCCAACUUUUGAGAGAGAGCUAAAAGAAAGAAGACCUAGACAUGGGGCAUGUUAGAAAACUGUGAGAAAGGCUAUGUGAAAGCCAUAUAUAUAUAUAUAUAAAAUUUGUCUACACUUAAAGGCAGGUCAAAGAUAAAGGAAGAAGAAUGCCUAUUGAGUCUAGGAAAGACAAAAGAAGUUUCAAUCAAAGAAAGACACCACAAAUGGCAAAAGUCGAUACCAUAAAAAAUAAAAAAACUGAGCUUCAAACAUGACUUUUGGCAUCCAUGAUAAAAACCCUGAUGUUAUCAGGUGAUUGAGAUUUGUUAUUCAUCAAAGAAAAAGUUGGAUUUGCAUUAUGACCUAUUCUGAUAUUUGAGGUUAAUAAGGUUAUAUGUCGCUUUCUCUACAAAGACAACAAGAUAAAGAGAAAUGAUGAAUAGUUGAUGUCGAUCCUAGGUUUUUGAAACCCUCAAACACCUUUUGAGCCUCAUGAGGACAACACUAGAAAACCUCUUAAUAAGUGCUGGUAGGAUGCACACAGCUAAUCAAAGAAUGAUUCUCGAAAGAAUCCAGGAGAUGAAAUGAUUUGUUCUUGACGAAUCAAACAAAACCACACUUGGGGGCAUUGUCAAGCUUGAUAAACAGUGAAACCAAUAAUCAUCGAACACAACCUAUGAUAGGCGCUGCAUUUAUAGUGGAGUGGAUGACUAGCACAUGAACGAGCCAGUACAUAGAAAGAGCAAAGAAGGCUUUUGGAUAGCAAACAAAGGCACCCUAUGACGAUGGAACAUCAAAGAGGGGGGGCCUAUAUUUCAAAUCAGGUAAGGAUGCAUGCAUGUCAUUUAACCUUAAAGCAUUGCACACAUAUUUUUAUUCGUUACAGGAAAAUCCUCAAAGAAAUCCAGCAAGAUUGAAAAAAAAAAUAAAAAAAUUCAAAAGAAUCAUUGAGCUGAUAAUAACAGAGAAUCAUGGAUUGUGACCCUAGAAUGGGAAGAAGAUGAGAUAAACCUUACUGUCAGGAAAAUCUCAAAGAAAUGAGAAGAUCAACCUUGUCAUCAUGAGGAGUCUUCAAUUCAACCCUGCAAUAAGGAAGCACCAAGUUUUCCAACCUUGUCAUCAAGAAAAAUCCAGUUAAUUUCAGUAAUCAGGAAGGACAGAUGUUAACCUUGCAAUUAGAAAGGACAGAUGUCAGUCCUGCAAAAUCACAAAAAAAAAGGCAUCAAGUGAAAAGUUUGAUCAAACCUUAUCAUCAAGAAGAAAAAUGACAAGAACCCUACCAUUAGGAAAUUCUCAAGAAGGAGAAGAAGAAGAAGAAGAAGAAGAAGAAAACGAAGGAAGCAAGUUCAAACCUUAUCAACAGGAAGAACAUAGAUUUUGGUUCUAGUUAAGGGGGAUCGACGGACGGGAUCUCAGGUUAGCCGAACCGCACACAGGAUAUUGGUUCUGGUUAAAGGGGAUCGCCGGACGGGAUCUCAGGUUAGCCCAACCACGCAGAUUUUGGUUCUGGUUAAAGGGGAUCGCCGGACGGGAUCUCAGGUUAGCCCAACCACGCAGAUUUUGGUUCUGGUUAAAGGGGAUCGCCGCACAGGAUCUCAGGUUAGCCCAACCACAUACAGGAUUUUGGUUCUGGUUAAAAGGGAUCACCGGACGAGAUCUCAGGUUAGCCCAACCACACAGGUUUUGGUUCUGGUUAAAGGGGAUCGCCGGACGGGAUCUCAGGUUAGCCCAACCACACACAGGAUAUUGGUUCUGGUUAAAGGGGAUCGCCGGACGGGAUCUCAGGUUAGCCCAACCACGCAGGAUAUUGGUUCUGGUUAAAGGGGAUCGCCGGACGGGAUCUCAGGUUAGCCCAACCAUGCAAAAUUUGGUUCUGGUUAAAGGGGAUUGCCGGACGGGGUCUCAGGUUAGCCCAACCACGCAAACUUUGGUCCUGGUUAAAGGGGAUCGCCGGAUGGGGUCUCAGGUUAGCCAAACCGCAUAAAGGAUUUUAGCUUUGUUUAAAGGAAGUCGCCACAAGAGAUUUCAAAAUAAAAUAAAAAAGAGAAGUGAGAAAGAAAGAAAGAAAGAAAAGAAGAAGAAGAAGAAGAAGAAGAAGAAGACUGAAUUUAGAGGGGCGCCAAGAUCAGGUUCUCAAGAUAAUCAAGUUCCUGGUUGAAACCAGAUUGCGGUAAAGAUAGAAUUUCAAAUCAACCCAGUUUUGAGAAGAUCAAGAUUAAAAGUUCAGUUUUGUUUAUCUUUACAAAACUUACGACGCAAAGUUUUUGCUCCGUAAGCAUUGUAAAGAGGGGGCAUCUGUUGUUAUCCAUUUUUGGGUUCACAUAAAAAUGAGAAAAUACAAAAAAUAUAUAUCAAAAGAAAUCCAAAAAAUAAUAGGAGCGAGAAAAGGAUUGCUGGAAUGCUGAAAAAAUGCCAAAAUUGGUUGAGGAGAUUCAAAAAUGCAAAAGGUUGAAAUUUGACAGUGAGAGCCCUGUUGAUGAGGAAAAUUCAAUUUGAGGAAGAAAAGUCCAAAAUCAGAUGUUUAUGGACUCAAUUAAAUUUUAUCCAAGGUUUAAUUGAAUUUAUAGAGCGUUUGAUUGCAAGAAAAUUGAUUUUUGUAAGUCAAUUUAGGCUUUUAUCGGAAGAAAUUAAAGUUCUGGGGUCCAAUUGUAAUUUUAAAGAGUUAAUUUGGUCAAAUCAGGGGCUUAAUUGCAUAAUAAGGGUUUAAAAUAUAAAAAAGACUGCAAGUCUACAAGAGCUGACAAUAAGAGCAAGGCUGCUACAAAGGAUUUACAAUGGAAUUAGAAAUAAAAUUUAAGUCCACAUUGGCAUUGGCUUAAUCUACAAAAAUAUAGAAAAUCUACACUUGUUGACCUGCUUGCCCAUCCUUUUUUUCUACUUCUUCCUGACCUCCUAUUUGACUCUCAUUCUCACUCAUACAGUACUUCUUGAAGAAAUAACCAAAACACCUCAUCACAAAAGGCACUGAAGCUGCAAUCAAAAGAUAGCGAAAACGCACAGAUUCAUUAGGAGUAACAGCAAAAACCGCAGAUGCAUAGGUUAUCAUAAUUGAAGCUGUAGCAGCCCAUAUUUCAAGAUGGAAAGGGAACCUGUAAGUGAGAGAUGUAAUGACAAGUAUACAAGUAGAGAGAGCCAAAGUGUUUGAUAUCAAGAAAACAUAGAAAGCACGCUUUUGAGAUGCAUAAAUUGCUCUUCCUACACGAUCUCCUUCUUGCCAGACCCCUCCAGGAGGGUUCACCCCGGCCUGGAAAGUCACUGCUGCAAUCAAGGCCACAACUACUAGCAAAACAUUUCUAGCAUCGCUUGGUGAGUCUCUCACUUCAUCAUACUGAAAUUUCUUGAACCCGCCAGCACUUCUUUUAGUAUUGUUUUUUUUAGGCUGAGACAUUUUUACUUGGGCAAAGAUAUGUGGGAGAUACCAGCACUCUGGCUCUCAAGA
rnacentral:lncRNA from 1 species